GGAGGUAUGGACAAUGAAUCACAAUGCGGAACUGUGAACCUCGCAAUUGGACUGUGGACAGAGUACAAGUGUUAACGUCAAUCAAUAGGACGGCAAGUGUGCUGCCAGCAGCCACCGUAACUCCAGCUCCCAUAGCCUAUAUGCGCGUAGUCGCAGUUAAACAGUUAGUAAGCUAAUAGAAGAGAACGGGGGAGGAUGUGAUCUCAGGAUGACAAGAGUUUACGAAUCCUCAUCACAAAUACUAGUUCAUGGUUGGGCAUUCAACUACUUGUCUAUGAAAUGUGGUCGGUCACUGAGAGUGAAAAAAAGAGAGUGAACCAAACGCACGUUUGAUUGAAUACAUUAGCAAGGAAAAAGCAUAUCUGGCUUUCAUGUUGACAUGUAUGGGUUGAGUAUGAAAGCAAGAUUAAAAGGGACAGUAGGGGGUAUUCAUA
rnacentral:rRNA from 1 species